rnacentral:lncRNA from 1 species
UUUUUUUUUUCCCUAAGGAAGAGAUUUUUAUACUGAAGCUUGAAUUAAAUGAGGGGACAAUUUAUAUGUUCUAGACUGAAUGAAUACAAGUUAUACAUGCCCUAGGAGAGGAACUUGUUUAGCCUGUUCAAAAAGUAGUAAGAAAGCCAGUAUUUCUGUAGGUGUAUGGGCCAAGGGCAGAAAACCAGGCAUAAGAAGUCAUCAUGGUCCUAGGGGCCAGAUCCUGCAGGGCAUUUUAGCAUAAGGAAAGAACCCUAAAGUUUAUUACAUGUGUGAUGAGAAGCCACUCAAUAAUUCUGAACAAGGAAGUUACAGAUCAUGUUCUCUAUUUUGGAGGCUGAUGUGUGGGGACUAACCUGAAGUUGUCUUGGUGAAGCAGCAGGGAGACUACUUUAGCAGCUACAGCAGAAGUCUAGGCAAGAAAGAACAUACCUUGGGCAAUGAUGUAGCAAUGGACUUGUCAGACUUAUUCUGGUUUGGGAUCUAUUUUGCAGUUGGCACAUAUAAGAUGUAUUGCUAUGGGAUACAAGAAAAAGAGAGGAGGCAAGGACAAUGGUGAGGUUCUGUCAUGAGUAUCAGGGUUAGUACUGGUGCAAUUUGCUGAGAAAAGGAACAUUCAAGGAGAAACAGGCUGAGCAGUAGGGGCGGGAGACCAGUUGUGACAUGCAAAUUCUGAGCUAGUGGAGCUAUCACUACACAAGCCUGAAGUUCAGGGUAGAAUCUGGGCUAGAGAGAGAAUUGGGUGCAUCCUGACAACUGAAUUGUCCCACGAACCGGAUCAGACCUGAGUGGGAUCAUCUAAAGAGGGAAUAUGAACACAUAAGGGCACUGCUACAUGCACAGGUCAGGGGAAUGAGAGUGAUACCACAGGAGAGACUAGAAAUGAGUAUAUGUAGGUCAGACAAAAGCCAAGAGGGGGUAGGAGGCUGAAGCCAAGUGAAGAAGUCUCCAGAUAAUUCUAUCAUGUGAAAAACAUCUUAACACUUAAGGGAGGUAAAGGCUGAAAAUUGACCCCCAACUGUGACAAAGAUAAAAUCACUGGUGACCUGACAAAUGGGUUUAUGUUUCAUACAUGGACAAACACCUGAGUGGAACAAGAUAGAGAAAAAGUGAGUUGGGAAAGUGAAGGCUGUGCUCUCUCAGUGAGCUCAGUGCAGCUGCUGCUGCUGCUGACCUGUGAGUGACUUGGGGCUAAUGAUGCAUAGAAGGAAGAACUGCAGGAGCAACAGCUUGAAUUAAGAAAAAGGGGCUGGGUACCAGGCACACGUGGAAGGGCUGGCCUUAUACAGGAGUAGAAGUGUUCAUUCACUGUGAAAGAAGGAAUUUAGAGUCUUUGGGUACAGACAUGGGCAGAGGUGUGAUAGAGUGAUGCAGAAAUGUCUGAUUGCUGCUAUAUUCUCAAAUGAAAGAAAAAUCACCUGGAAGAGAGACUAGAUGAAUAGGAUGAUGGGAUUUGAAAGGAGAGGAUAAGAUAUAAAAUAUAUAGAGGGAGAAACACUAAAUAGGGAAAUACAGUACGAUGGCUGGACUGUCUAAAAGUUCCACUUAUGAAUCAUGGGCAUACAUUUAGAGUGAGAUCAGUCAGCAUGGCUCUGUGUUGUUCUUUUUGUCAGAGCUCUUAAGGGGCCAACUAAAGAGCUGAAACCGAAUUUAACUAGAACCAGUAUUUGCCAGGCAAGUGUGAUGGAGAAAGAAAGGCAAGAGAGUUGAGUGACAACACAAAGAAAGGAUUCCAGUGAUGGAAAAUGGGGCUUAAUCUGGGAAAGGAAAGAAGUAAGGAUGCUAAAGGAGCAGCAGAUACUCAAAGGAAAGCCAAAAAUCAGAGUGCCUGAUUACUGCACUUACUGAUAACUCAUAUUUGCAAUUUUUAUUUUGCACCUUUUGGAAAUUUUUCACUCACGUAAGUGUCUUUUCUUCGAAAAAGAAAAAAAAUGCCUUUAAUUACUUCUCUUCAUGUUUCCAUAUUCAUUACAUGUGUCUUCCCCCAAACUGGAAAGUAGCAUAGUUUAAGCUUGUCAAGGAGUUUAGUGAAAUCAGCCAUGGCAUUUGGGAUAAUAUAAAGAUUAAAAUGGGAUAUUUGUAUAGGGUACAUGUGAAACUAAAUGAGAUUCUGACAAUCCCAAAUAUGCAUGAAAAAUUGAUGGUUAAGGUCAUCCAAAAGGUAAUUUUCAUGAAGCUUUGAGGACCUGCUGGGAAAUGAUUUUUCUCAGGGAAUAAGAAGCCAAGCAAUGAUAAUUUGACUUACCUCCUGGAGUGCACAAAAAAAUAAACUCUAUGGCAUGGCGUCUAUAUUUACUUAUUUGGAUUUGUCACUCAAUUCAUCCCUUUUGGACUGUUAUCUGACAGUGAGGCAUUGUAGACAAAUAUAAUACCAAGAAAUAAACAAAAGGGAAAAUAUCUGAUAGAGCAGAACUACUUGUAUAUCACUGAUACACUACCAACAGUGUAUUACAACAGAGCCACAAUGAACACCAGGGAAUAAACAACACCUAGAAAGUGAGCACAUACAAGAUUUCCCUAUAGGACUGCUAGAAAUAAUUGUUGGGUGUUGACUUUAAGGGAGCCUGAGGUAGGGGCAUGAACUGGUACACCUGGGAAGAAUUCAGAUCUGCUGAAGAAAGCCUAAUCAAGCUAGAGUGAUGGUAUGGGUGAAAGAGUGCUAGUUUACUUAAAAACAGGUAUAUCCAUUCAUUUGUAUGUCAUAUGCUUUUUUGACCUGAUAAAAUGAUUUACAAAGGAAUAAUCAGGGAAAGGAGGCCCUUAAGAGGUAGUAAGAGACUGCUAAUCUGUGAGAUGGGCAUCUAUGCAAACAUCCUCAGUAAGUGCCUCUGGUUUAUAGAUUCCAUUCUAGAAAAUGUCUGGUGAACUAAAAAGCCUUUAAAAAAAAGUCUGAAGUGAAUUACAGAAUUAGAAUAAACUUCUAAGUGCACACUGUAUCAAUCUCAUUUUUAAACAAUUGUGGCUGAUAAAUAUUCUUUUAAUAAUUUCUUUGGUGUGAUUUCCUUUUUACAGGGCAGUCGGGUUAUAGCAAAAGGAGACUUCUAAGGGAAGAAAGCACUGUUCUUUAUGGUUUCCAUGAACUAUAAAGAGUUAAUAUAAGCAAAACGUGUUCUGGAGCUCACUUUUAGUACACGGACACAUCACACAUACACGCAAAUGUAUACAUACUUCAAGCAAAACACAUUGAUUAAAUAGGUGAACACAAAUUUCAUAUUGCAAUACCCAAAAAUGACUCAGAAAUAGUGUUCUUUACUAUCAUGUUCAUGAUGAGCAUCUACAGGACCUCUCCCAACUCAGUAAUUGCUCCAAACCAUAGCUCCUUGAAGGCCAGUGAAACGACUCUCCAUGUGUCAGCAUACGAUCCUUCCCAGGUUACAUAAGAUCCCGUAACAAUGUAUGGAUGGCCUUUUUCAAUAUGAUGGAAUCAGGCAAAAGCUUCCAACCUGGCUGUGCUGAAGAGGAGGGUUGCCAGGCAUAUACAGAAUGCCCAAUUAUAUUCAAAGUUCACAUAAAUAAUUUUUAGUACAAGUGUGUCCUGUACAAUAUUUGGGAUAUAAUUAUAUUUUUAAAAAUCUGAUUCAAAUGUAGCUGUGCAGACUGUAUUUUUAUUUGCUACAUCUGUCAACUCUACCAAGAAGAGUUCGGGCAAAUCCAUACCUAAGAACCAACCAACCAAAUGAGGGACAUAAAGGAGGAAAACCCAAGACUUAGCCCACACUUAGGUCCAUUCUCUACCAGCUACAAGUGGAAGUGGAACUUAAAGCUAAGCUUUUGCUAAGUACGUGUGGUUUGGUAGAACACCUUUCUCAUGUGCAUUUACUAUUUUUUUGGCAAAUUGGAGGGAGUAAAGAGUUGAACUGUCCACUGGAGUUUCAUCUUUCCC